rnacentral:rRNA from 1 species
AAACAUUGCUCUUUGCUUUUAUAUAAAGAGUCAGGCCUGCCCAGUGGAGAAAUCUAAACGGCCGCAGAAUUUUAACUGUGCUAAGGUAGCAUAAUCAUUUGUCUUUUAAUUAAAGACUGGUAUGAACGGUUUAACGAAACUAAGCUGUCUCUUUUAUACUAAAUAAAAAUUAUUCUUAAAGUGAAAAAACUUUAAUAAAAUAAAAAGACAAAAAGACCCUAUAGAGUUUAACUUAAAAAUUUUUAACAAAUCAAUAAGUUUAGUUGGGGCAACUAGAGAAAAAUAAAUUUUCUUAUUGACAAUAAAGCUAUACUAUCAUUAAUUUAAUAAUACAAAAUAAAUUACCUUAGGGGUAACAGCGUAAAUUUCUUAAAGAGCCCAAAUCGAAAAGAAAAAUUACGACCUCGAUGUUGGAUUAGAGAAACAUAAAAUAGAAAAAGAUUUUAAUGGUAGUCUUCGUUCGACUAAUAAUUCUCUACAUGAUCUG